CCUGAACCCAUACGCCUACAAGCAGUCGGAGCCGCUUCGUGCGGUGACGGCGUGCCUUUUGCAUAAUGAGCCUACGAGUUACUCAUCACCAGCGAGGUUAAGUACUUCAGGUACGUAAGCCGAAGCGAAAGCGAGUCUGAAUAGGGCGUCAAGUUGGUGGUGGUAGACGCGAAACCUUAGUGAUCUACCCAUGGGCAGGGUGAAGGUUUGGUAACACAAACUGGAGGCCCGAACCGGUAAACGUUGAAAAGUUUUCGGAUGACCUGUGGGUAGGGGUGAAAGGCCAAUCAAACUGGGAAAUAGCUCGUACUCUCCGAAAUGCAUUUAGGUGCAGCCUCUGUUGUUUUGUUCUAGAGGUAGAGCUACUGAUUGGAUGCGAGGGCUUCACCGCCUAUCAAAUCCGGCCAAACUCCGAAUGCUAGAACAUGAAGACAGGGAGUGAGCCAGCGGGUGCUAAGGUCCGUUGACGAAAGAGGGAGAACUCAGACCAUCAGCUAAGGUCCCCAAUUAUAUGCUAAGUUGGAAUAAAAACGGGGUGGGACUGCUUAGACAGCUAGGAUGUUGGCUUGGAAGCAGCCAUUCAUUUAAAGAGUGCGUAACAGCUCACUAGUCGAGCGGUCCUGCAUGGAUAAUACGCGGGCAUAAGCAUAUAACCGAAGCUAUGGGAUUGUAGAUGAUACAAUCGGUAGGAGAGCAUUCCAUUCAGCAUAGAAGCAGUACCGUGAGGUAUUGUGGAGCGGAUGGAAAAGCAAAUGUAGGCAUAAGUAACGAUAAUGCGGGUGAGAACCCCGCACGCCGAAAGAUCAAGGAUUCCCCGGCAAUGUCAAUCAUCCGGGGGUAAGUCGGAUCCUAAGGGUAAGCCGAGUGGCGAUCCCGAUGGCAAACAGGUUAAUAUUCCUGUACUGAUCAUAACUGCGAUGCAGCGACGCAGAGGUGACACUGCUGCGUACUGACGGAAUAGUACGUUGAAACCCGUAUUCUUUGAUACCGGUAGUGAAGCACGCCGGUAGAGAUGAAAGGUGAUAGUACCGCAAUGCUUCGGUUGCGCGGAUAACGCAGGUAAGCUGACUGCCAAGAAAACCUGCUAAGCUUCAGGUAAUGAUCAUCCGUACUGUAAACGGACACACGUGAUCAGGUAGAAAAUACUAAGGCGCUCGAGAGAUUCAUGGUUAAGGAACUAGGCAAAAUGGUCCUGUAACUUCGGGAUAAAGGACGCUCUUGUGAAAGAGCCGCAGAUAAUAGGCCCAGGCGACUGUUUACCAAAAACACAUGGCUAUGCUAAUUCGCAAGAAGAUGUAUAUGGCCUGACACCUGCCCGGUGCCGGAAGGUUAAGAGGAGAGCUCAGAGGCAACUCGAAGGUUUGAAUUGAAGCCCCGGUAAACGGCGGCCGUAACUAUAACGGUCCUAAGGUAGCGAAAUUCCUUGUCGGGUAAGUUCCGACCUGCACGAAUGGUGUAACGAUCUGGGUACUGUCUCAACCAUGAGCUCGGUGAAAUUGUAGUUCCGGUGAAGAUGCCGGAUACCCGCAACGGGACGGAAAGACCCCGUGAACCUUUACUGCAGCUUUGCAUUGAUUUUGGGUAACAGAUGUGUAGGAUAGGUCGGAGGCUUUGAUGCUGCGUCGUCAGGCGUAGAGUAGCCGUCGUUGAAAUACGACCCUUUUGUUAUCUGAGGUCUAAUCCCGUUAGGGAGACAUUGCAUGGUGGGUAGUUUGACUGGGGUGGUCGCCUCCAAAAGUGUAACGGAGGCUUCUCAAGGUACCCUCAAGGCGUUUGGUAAUCGUCUGCAGAGUGCAAUGGCAUAAGGGUGCUUGACUGUGAGACCGACACGUCGAUCAGGUUGGAAACAAGAGCAUAGUGAUCCGGUGGUUCCGCAUGGAAGGGCCAUCGCU
rnacentral:rRNA from 1 species